rnacentral:lncRNA from 1 species
GAUAAGUUAGUUGUCAAUCUGUCAUCAAUAGAACUAACUACCUCUGAAGAAAAACUAUUGAGUAAAGGCCUUAAUUUCUGUCCAGCUCCAGCAACCGUCAACAAUUUACAACUUGAGACAGAUGUAGAAGCAUUUGCCAGGCGUCUUCGGUUGAAAGAACAUUUCAAUAGACAACAGAAGAAAAAUUUAAAAGAAGCCGGAAUGAAUGAAUCUGAUUAUGAGAGUGAUGAAGGAGACAUAUGCAUCCCAAAAUUUAAAAAGAAAAGUAAAUGGAAUCCCCCUAAAAGCAAAAACGACAAUUUGGAAUCAUUCAUUACAUCAGUCAAAGCUGAAGUCAGAUCUUCAAU